rnacentral:rRNA from 1 species
UACGGAGGGGGUUAGCGUUGUUCGGAAUGACUGGGCGUAAAGCGCGCGUAGGCGGGCUGGAAAGUUGGGGGUGAAAUCCCGGGGCUCAACCCCGGAAUGGCCUUCAAGACUCCCAGCCUAGAGUUCGAGAGAGGUGAGUGGAAUUCCGAGUGUAGAGGUGAAAUUCGUAGAUAUUCGGAGGAACACCGGUGGUGUAGACGGCUCACUGGACCGUAACUGACGCUGAGACACGAAAGCGUGGGUAGCAAACAGG